rnacentral:tRNA from 1 species
GCCUGGGUGGCUCAGUCGGUUGAGCGUCCGACUUCGGCUCAGGUCAUGAGCUCACGGUCUGUGGGUUCGAGCCCCGCGUCGGGCU